rnacentral:rRNA from 1 species
CCUACGGGUGGCAGCAGUGGGGAAUAUUGCACAAUGGGGGGAACCCUGAUGCAGCAACGCCGCGUGGGUGAAGAAGUACUCCGGUAUGUAAAGCCCUGUCAGCAGGGAAGAAAAUGACGGUACCUGACCAAGAAGCCCCGGCUAACUACGUGCCAGCAGCCGCGGUAAUACGUAGGGGGCAAGCGUUAUCCGGAUUUACUGGGUGUAAAGGGCGUGUAGCCGGGCUGACAAGUCAGAUGUGAAAUUCCGGGGCUCAACCCCGGACCUGCAUUUGAAACUGUUGGUCUUGAGUAUCGGAGAGGCAGGCGGAAUUCCUAGUGUAGCGGUGAAAUGCGUAGAUAUUAGGAGGAACACCAGUGGCGAAGGCGGCCUGCUGGACGACAACUGACGGUGAGGCGCGAAAGCGUGGGGAGCAAACAGGAUUAGAUACCCUGGUAGUC